GAUUCCCCUAGUAACGGCGAGCGAAAAGGGAACUGUCCAGCGCCAAGUCUUGACGCCUCGAUGUGUUCAAGAGAUGCGGCGUUAAUGUGUUGACGCAUCGGACGUUGUUCCACGUUUCAAGUUCCUUUGACAGGGACAUCCAGAGCGGGUGCUAGGCCCAUAGAAACGAGGAGCGGACGGCCGCCGGUCAAUGCAUUCUAGAGUCAGGUUGCUUGAGAGUGCAGCUUAAAGUCGGUGGUAAACUCCAUCCAAGACUAAAUAUGACAGCGAGACCGAUAGCAAACAAGUACCGUGAGGGAAAGUUGCAAAGCACUUUGAAGAGAGAGUUCAAUAGUACGUGAAACCACUGGCAGGCAAACAGAUGGAACCACGAAGUGUGCGCCUCGGACGAUUCAAUCGCCGUGGACGGUUGCAGGUGUGCGGYCAGGGUUUUCUAGGAGACCGGCCACAUGUCUUCUGACCGGUCACGGUGGUGCAUUUCGCUCCGGGGAUGCUAAGCCACGUUCGACUUGAUAGUUGGGACGGCCGUAGGAUGGGAGCCAAGAAAGGUGCCCGUCAAACGCUUGCGUUUGUCGGCGUUAUAGUCUUGGCACGGAACCGUCGCCUAACAUGCUGGUCGAUGCAAGUACUCCGUACUCGGAGUGACGCUAAGCUUCUGGCCAUCAGUCGAUGUUUCGGCAUGUUCUUUACGUAUCUUGCGGUACGAAAAGGCGUGCCAACGAUGUCGGCUGGUGGUUGGUCGCGYUUUGCGGCGAAACUGUGGCGCGAGUAGGUCGGUGUCCAUCUGACCCGUCUUGAAACACGGACCAAGGAGCCUAACAUAUACGCGAGUCGCUCGGUCUUGUUUAGGCCCGGGAGGCGCAAUGAAAGUGAAGCUACGAGGCCGCUUGCGGUCGCAGUAGUGGCUCGCCCACUUCGUUUAUUGGCGAUCGGGCGAAGCUGGAGCGUAUACGUUGGUACCCGAAAGAUGGUGAACUAUGCCUGGGCAAGACGAAGCCAGAGGAAACUCUGGUGGAGGUCUGUAGCGAUUCUGACGUGCAAAUCGAUCGUCAGACCUGGGUAUAGGGGCGAAAGACUAAUCGAACCAUCUAGUAGCUGGUUCCCUCCGAAGUUUCCCUCAGGAUAGCAGGCGCUCGUUGAACCAGUGUCAUCCGGUAAAGCUAAUGAUUAGAGGUCUUGGGAUUGAAACGAUCUCAACCUAUUCUCAAACUUUAAAUGGGUGAGAUGGUUGACUUUCUUGAUUGAAGCCAACCGCUUGGAUGUGAGUGCCUAGUGGGCCAGCUUUGGUAAGCAGAACUGGCGCUGUGGGAUGAACCAAACGUCGAGAUAAGGUAUCAAACGCAUACGCUCAUGAGACCCCAUGAAAGGUGUUGGUUGCUAUAGACAGCAGGACGGUGGCCAUGGAAGUCGGAAUCC
rnacentral:rRNA from 1 species